rnacentral:misc_RNA from 1 species
AUUUAAAAUGGUUGUCAAGGAAGUUUUAUUGUAAUGUCCGUGAUCUUGGUCUAGUUUUCUUCCUUGGAAAUGCAACUUGCACAGGUCCGGUCACCAAAUUGAUCAAUGUGAUGCAAAAAAAUUAUUCAUUGUGUGCUGCUUGUGAAUGUGAGACUUGUAAAUUAAACUGAAUCGGAAAGUGACUUCAAUCAUGGAUAUUAAACAGAUAAAAUGAGCAAAUUAUUUCAUGUUUUUUAU